rnacentral:rRNA from 1 species
UACGUAGGGACCAAGCGUUGUUCGGAUUUACUGGGCGUAAAGGGCGCGUAGGCGGCGUGUCAAGUCAAUUGUGAAAUCUCCGGGCUUAACUCGGAACGGUCAAUUGAUACUGAUGUGCUAGAGUGCAGAAGGGGCAAUCGGAAUUCUUGGUGUAGCGGUGAAAUGCGUAGAUAUCAAGAGGAACACCUGAGGUGAAGACGGGUUGCUGGGCUGACACUGACGCUGAGGCGCGAAAGCGUGGGGAGCAAACAGG